UCUUAAAAUGGGUUAAUCCAUUUAACAACUCAACUCAUCAAAUUAAAUAAGUUAUGGGUUGACCCAACCCUUUUAACAAAAUGGGUUGAGUUGAGUUGGGUUACCCAUUUUGACACCCCUAUAAUAAGAUCUAUAAUUAUUAAUUUAUAAUAUUAAGACUAAUUUUUAUAGAGAUUUCAAAAAAGUUAUUAUCUUAUUAUCUUAUCAAUUUUUGUUAAUUUUUAUAUUGAUCUGACUUAGAACCGACAAAAUUUAUUAAUUUAUUGUAUUU
rnacentral:sRNA from 1 species